GGGAUAGAUUUAUGAAGUGAAGCGUGGUGCCCAACUGAACUUUCAAGGUGAUUUUGGAGUUCAUGAGUUGGUAUGAAUGGAUGAAGAUGCUAACAUGGAAUUUAUUAAUCUAGCAGGCUGUCUUUAGAAAAUAUCAUGGGCAAAUGGGAAAAUGAACUCUUGUAAUGGCAGCAGCUUAAAUCAGAAUCACAGAAACACAGGUAAACUGCAGCAUUCAGGAUUGCAUACCUGUACACCAUCCAGAAGUUGCCCUUUCCAUUGAUGUUUACCAUAAUGUGCAAAACUGGAUCAAGUUUUGCUUGCAGACCCAAGGAUUCUUGGUCGUUGGACAAAAAACCUUGACUGAGUUGAGGGAUAAGAUAUACUGUUUAACAGAUAAGGUGAUGGAAAAAGAUGGCCAGCAUAAUCAUUCAGGAUGUUUCCUCAUAGAAGUAAGAAGUUGAAUCCAUUUAAUGGUUAGUUUCAAAUGAAGAUGGUCUUUCCACUUAAUCCUAGUAAAUUGCUUAUCCUAUGUAGGAGAGAUUCUACAAAGAUCUGAGGGUUUCUUCUGCAUUAUUUUAUAGUUGAUCUGUAUAUGAUUGGCUUAGAAAUUUAAGAGAUGAUGCUCUAAAAAACUAAAAGUGGAGUGUGUUUUAGCUGGAAAAUUGCAAAAGAAGGAAAAAAGCAGUUGCAUGCAACAUAACUGGCUCAAAAUUGCCUCUGUUCCAAGCUGAUGAUAUGCACAAGACACAGUUUUGCAACUUGAAAUUUCAACCUUCUGAUAUGUCACCAGGUACACACCUCUAUUGCUUUUUCAUGCCC